rnacentral:rRNA from 1 species
AGCAGUACCACGGUAAUACGAAGGGGGCUAGCGUUGCUCGGAAUGACUGGGCGUAAAGGGCUCGCAGGCGGUUUCUUAAGUCUGAUGUGAAAGCCCCCGGCUCAACCGGGGAGGGUCAUUGGAAACUGGGAAACUUGAGUGCAGAAGAGGAGAGUGGAAUUCCACGUGUAGCGGUGAAAUGCGUAGAGAUGUGGAGGAACACCAGUGGCGAAGGCGACUCUCUGGUCUGUAACUGACGCGGAGGAGCGAAAGCGUGGGGAGCGAACAGGAUUAGAUACCCGGGUAGUCCCUGUCUCUUAUACA